GAUGAACGCUGGCGGCGUGCCUAAUACAUGCAAGUCGAGCGAACGGACGAGAAGCUUGCUUUUCUGAUGUUAGCGGCGGACGGGUGAGUAACACGUGGAUAACCUACCUAUAAGACUGGGAUAACUUCGGGAAACCGGAGCUAAUACCGGAUAAUAUUUUGAACCGCAUGGUUCAAAAGUGAAAGACGGUCUUGCUGUCACUUAUAGAUGGAUCCGCGCUGCAUUAGCUAGUUGGUAAGGUAACGGCUUACCAAGGCGACGAUGCAUAGCCGAACUGAGAGGGUGAUCGGCCACACGGGAACUGGGACACGGUCAAGACUCCUACGAGAGGCAGCAGAAGGGAAUCUGCCGCAAUGGGCGAAAGCCUGACGGAGCGACGCCACGUGUGUUAUGGAGGUCUUCGGAGCGUAAAACUCUGUUAUUAGGGAAAAACAUAUGUGUAAGUAACUGUGCACAUCUUGACGGUACCUAAUCAGAAAGCCACGGCUAACUACGUG
rnacentral:rRNA from 1 species